UUAAAUUGAAGAGUUUGAUCAUGGCUCAGAUUGAACGCUGGCGGCAGGCCUAACACAUGCAAGUCGAACGGUAACAGGAAGCAGCUUGCUGCUUUGCUGACGAGUGGCGGACGGGU
rnacentral:rRNA from 17 species